UACAGAGGUGGCAAGCGUUGUUCGGAAUUACUGGGCGUAAAGGGCGCGUAGGCGGUUUCGUAAGUCCUGUGUGAAAUCCCCCGGCUCAACUGGGGAACUGCACAGGAAACUGCGAGGCUUGAGUUCGGGGAGAGGGAAGCGGAAUUCCGGGUGUAGCGGUGAAAUGCGCAGAUAUCGGGAGGAACACCAAUGGCGAAGGCAGCUCGCUGGGACGUGACUGACGCUGAGACGCGAAAGCUAGGGGAGCGAACUGG
rnacentral:rRNA from 1 species